rnacentral:rRNA from 1 species
CGAACGGGUGAGUAAUGCGUGACCAACCUGCCCCAUGCUCCAGAAUAGCUCUUGGAAACGGGUGGUAAUGCUUGAUGCUCCAACUUGACGCAUGUCUUGUUGGGAAAGUGUUUAGUGGCAUGGGAUGGGGUCGCGUCCUAUCAGCUUGUAGGCGGGGUAAUGGCCCACCUAGGCUUCGACGGGUAGCCGGCCUGAGAGGGCGGACGGCCACAUUGGGACUGAGAUACGGCCCAGACUCCUACGGGAGGCAGCAGCU